rnacentral:rRNA from 1 species
GUACAUCCAGAGAAUUUAGCAGAGAUGCUUUAGUGCCUUCGGGAACUCUGAGACAGGUGCUGCAUGGCUGUCGUCAGCUCGUGUUGUGAAAUGUUGGGUUAAGUCCCGNAACGAGCGCAACCCUUAUCCUUUGUUGCCAGCACGUAAUGGUGGGAACUCAAAGGAGACUGCCGGUGAUAAACCGGAGGAAGGUGGGGAUGACGUCAAGUCAUCAUGGCCCUUACGAGUAGGGCUACACACGUGCUACAAUGGCGCAUACAAAGAGAAGCGACCUCGCGAGAGCAAGCGGACCUCAUAAAGUGCGUCGUAGUCCGGAUUGGAGUCUGCAACUCGACUCCAUGAAGUCGGAAUCGCUAGUAAUCGUAAAUCAGAAUGUUACGGUGAAUACGUUCCCGGGCCUUGUACACACCGCCCGUCACACCAUGGGAGUGGGUUGCAAAAGAAGUAGAUAGCUUAACCUUCGGGAGGGCGUUUACCACUUUGUGAUUCAUGACUGGGGUGAAGUCGUAACAAGGUAAGCGUAGUGCU